AACUCGGCUUUAAGUCCCCUUUCAGGGGGCCCUCAGCCGUACAGAAUCCACCUGGCAAAAAUGGAAACUGCCUGGAGGCCAGGGCUGAGGGAAGGCCUGGAGCAGAGCCGGUGCGCGACCUCGCAGUGAGCAGGGAGGGCAGGCUGGGGACGUUCACCACCCAGAACGCCUCUGCUCCCCGCAACCCUGAGACUCCAGGCUCCCCUGUUCCUCCCUCCGGGAGACCCUGCCCGUCCUCCCCGCGGGGCUCCUUCGCAGUUCGGGGGAAGGGACGGGUUGCGUCCUCGGGACCUUUCUCUGCAGCCACAGCAGCGCAUCCCAGCACCUCCUCCAGGAGCCCCGCCACCUCCUGCCACCCGGACUUUCCCCACAGCGCAGCGUCCCCUCGUCCUCUCAGGGCUGGAACAGCGGUACCCGCAGACAGUGCAAAAGGGAAGUCCCUGUUGCCUUCCCAUGCAAACUGUAGGGCGCUUACAGCUGCUGGGAGAGGAAAGGAAAGAAGAAAUACAAGCCUGUGACCCGGAUCCAACCCGCGGCGCACAGACCCCGGCUCUGGGCACCCCUGGUGAGCGCCUUCUGCGCCAGAGCUCCGUACAGCACCAGCCCGCGCUCUCCCCCAGCUUCUGUUCAUUUGCUGCAGUCCUGACGGGUCAGUUGCCUGAGCAUCCAUGCUGCCAUCCAUACAAACCCAGGCACGCAGAGAUGUACAUCCUUUACCCAGGGUGACACCAUGUGGAGCUGAAUCCAAGUCCGGGAGUCUGAUGACCGUGUCUGGGCUCUGACCGCGCAGCCGUCUCACAGUGAAACAAAUUGCGGACUGGCCUUGUCCUGAGUGGCCUUAGGAAGCUGCAGUGGCCUGCAGUCUCCUGGCCAGUCUGUAGAAUUUGGCAAAGAUGAGGCACCUUAUAGCCUUACAUGUUCUUAUUUUUCUUUCCUUUUCUCUUCUUUAUUUUCUUUUUUAAGGAUUUGAAUUAGUAUAUGUAAAGUGCUUAACGCAGGAGCUGGCAGAGAAAGUGGAUACUCAGUAAAUAACAGCAAUUGUUAAUUGUAAAAAGCAUGCCACUUAUCUGGUAAAAUCCCCCAUUCUAAGCACCCUGUUAAGUAGUUGGUAAUUCCUCACUUGAAAGAAAUUAAAAAGAAUUUUUGUCAGUUUUU
rnacentral:lncRNA from 10 species